GAUUAUGGCUCAGGAUGAACGCUAGCUACAGGCUUAACACAUGCAAGUCGGGGGCAGCACGGGAACGGCAACGUUCUUGGGUGGCGACCGGCGAAUGGGUGAGUAACGAGUAUCCAACCUGCCCCGCGCUCCGGGACAGCCCGCGAAAGCGGGAUUAAUACCGGAUGCGGCACGGAGGCCGCAUGGUCUCCGUGUCAAAGAUUCCAUCGGCGCGGGAUGGGGAUGCGUCCGAUUAGCUUGUUGGCGGGCAACGGCCCACCAAGGCGAUGAUCGGUAGGGUUCUGAGAGGAAGGUCCCCCACAUUGGAACUGAGACACGGUCCAAACUCCUACGGGAGGCAGCAGUGAGGAAUAUUGGUCAAUGGCCGUAAGGCUGAACCAGCCAAGUAGCGUGAAGGGAUGACCGCCCUAUGGGUCGUAAACCUCUUUUGCGCGGGAAUAAUCCACGGUACGCGUACCGUGUUGCAUGUACCGCGCGAAUAAGCAUCGGCUAACUCCGUGCCAGCCGCCGC
rnacentral:rRNA from 1 species